rnacentral:rRNA from 1 species
AUGUUAGCGGCGGACGGGUGAGUAACACGUGGGUAACCUGCCUGUAAGACUGGGAUAACUCCGGGAAACCGGGGCUAAUACCGGAUGGUUGUUUGAACCGCAUGGUUCAGACAUAAAAGGUGGCUUCGGCUACCACUUACAGAUGGACCCGCGGCGCAUUAGCUAGUUGGUGAGGUAACGGCUCACCAAGGCGACGAUGCGUAGCCGACCUGAGAGGGUGAUCGGCCACACUGGGACUGAGACACGGCCCAGACUCCUACGGGAGGCAGCAGUAGGGAAUCUUCCGCAAUGGACGAAAGUCUGACGGAGCAACGCCGCGUGAGUGAUGAAGGUUUUCGGAUCGUAAAGCUCUGUUGUUAGGGAAGAACAAGUGCCGUUCAAAUAGGGCGGCACCUUGACGGUACCUAACCAGAAAGCCACGGCUAACUACGUGCCAGCAGCCGCGGUAAUACGUAUGUGGCAAGCGUUGUCCGGAAUUAUUGGGCGUAAAGGGCUCGCAGGCGGUUUCUUAAGUCUGAUGUGAAAGCCCCCGGCUCAACCGGGGAGGGUCAUUGGAAACUGGGGAACUUGAGUGCAGAAGAGGAGAGUGGAAUUCCACGUGUAGCGGUGAAUGCGUAGAGAUGUGGAGGAACACCAGUGGCGAAUGCGACUCUCUGGUCUGUAACUGACGCUGAGGAGCGAAAGCGUUGGGGAGCGAACAGGAUUAGAUACCCUGGUAGU